GCAUGAGGUGUCCUCUCACCAGCAGCAGCUGCCAUCUCCUGAUUCAGGUUUGGAAUGCAGUGUAAGUUUUGCAAAUUUGUAAACAGUAGCUGAGAAUUUACACUACUGACUACAUCGCUAUCAAGGACCAUCCUGGCAGCAGCCUUGUUUGUUCGCAGACUGCUUCUGCACUUUAAAGACUCUGAUGUCCGAAAACAGUGGCCUGCAUGUUUUUGGGAGUUUAGGUCUAUGCUGAGUUUUACAGGAUUACUCAAACCAACCUCAAAGAUACCUUCUCUUUUUCGGAUGAAUACGCUAUCAAGUUUUAUGGAUCAUGUGGUGGGCGAUAUGGAGAGAUAAUAAGGACCGCCCUGGACCAACUGGACAAUCAA
ensembl:lincRNA